rnacentral:rRNA from 1 species
UACGGGGGGGGCAAGCGUUGUUCGGAAUUACUGGGCGUAAAGCGCGCGUAGGCGGCUUUGUAAGUCAGAGGUGAAAUCCCGGGGCUCAACUCCGGAACUGCCUUUGAAACUGCAUCGCUUGAAUCCGGGAGAGGUGAGUGGAAUUCCGAGUGUAGAGGUGAAAUUCGUAGAUAUUCGGAAGAACACCAGUGGCGAAGGCGGCUCACUGGACCGGCAUUGACGCUGAGGUGCGAAAGCGUGGGGAGCAAACAGG